CAAUGAAUUUGACUUAGUGGCGAACGGGUGAGUAACGCGUGAGCAACCUGCCUUUCAGAGGGGGACAACAGUUGGAAACGACUGCUAAUACCGCACAACACAUCGAGGGGGCAUCCCUUUGAUGUCAAAGAUUUAUCGCUGAAAGAUGGGCUCGCGUCUGAUUAGAUAGUUGGUGGGGUAACGGCCCACCAAGUCGACGAUCAGUAGCCGGACUGAGAGGUUGAACGGCCACAUUGGGACUGAGAUACGGCCCAGACUCCUACGGGAGGCAGCAGUGGGGAAUAUUGGGCAAUGGGGGAAACCCUGACCUAGCAACGCCGCGUGAAGGAAGAAGGCUUUCGGGUUGUAAACUUCUUUUACCAGGGACGAAGACGUGACGGUACCUGGAGAAAAAGCCACGGCUAACUACGUGCCAGCAGCCGCGGUAAUACGUAGGUGGCAAGCGUUGUCCGGAUUUACUGGGUGUAAAGGGCGUGUAGGCGGAGAUGCAAGUCAGAUGUGAAAUCUCGGGGCUCAACCCCGAAACUGCAUUUGAAACUGUAUCCCUUGAGUAUCGGAGAGGCAGGCGGAAUUCCUAGUGUAGCGGUGAAAUGCGUAGAUAUUAGGAGGAACACCAGUGGCGAAGGCGGCCUGCUGGACGACAACUGACGCUGAGGCGCGAAAGCGUGGGGAGCAAACAGGAUUAGAUACCCUGUAGUCC
rnacentral:rRNA from 1 species